GAUGAACGCUGGCGGCGUGCCUAAUACAUGCAAGUCGAGCGAACGGACGAGAAGCUUGCUUUUCUGAUGUUAGCGGCGGACGGGUGAGUAACACGUGGAUAACCUACCUAUAAGACUGGGAUAACUUCGGGAAACCGGAGCUAAUACCGGAUAAUAUUUUAAACCGCAUGGUUCAAAAGUGAAAGACGGUCUUGCUGUCACUUAUAGAUGGAUCCGCGCUGCAUUAGCUAGUUGGUAAGGUAACGGCUUACCAAGGCAACGAUGCAUAGCCGACCCGAGAGGGUGAUCGGCCACACUGGAACUGAGACACGGUCCAGACUCCUACGGGAGGCAGCAGUAGGGAAUCUUCCGCAAUGGGCGAAAGCCUGACGGAGCAACGCCGCGUGAGUGAUGAAGGUCUUCGGAUCGUAAAACUCUGUUAUUAGGGAAGAACAUAUGUGUAAGUAACUGUGCACAUCUUGACGGUACCUAAUCAGAAAGCCACGGCUAACUACGUG
rnacentral:rRNA from 1 species